CACACUCACCCUUAUUCAGGUUAAUAUUGUUUCUCUCUAACCACACCCCACCCUUAUUCAGGUUAAUAUUGUUUCUCUCUAACCACACUCACCCUUAUUCAGGUUAAUAUUGUUUCUCUCUAACCACGUCCACCCUCAUUCAGGUUAAUAUUGUUUCUCUCUAACCACACCCACCCUUAUUCAGGUUAAUAUUGUUUCUCUCUAACCACGCCUCACCCUUAUUCAGGUUAAUAUUGUUUGAUUCUCUCUAACCACACCUACCCUCAUUCAGGUUAAUAUUGUUUGAUUCUCUCUAACCACGCCCACCCUUAUGCGGGUUAAUAAUGAUCGAUUCUCUCUAACCACACUCGCCCUUAUUCAGGUUAAUGUUGUUUCUCUCUAACCACGCCCACUCUUAUUCAGGUUAAUAUUGUUUCUCUCUAACCACACCCACCCUUAUUCAGGUUAAUAUUGUUUCUCUCUAACCACACUCACCCUUAUUCAGGUUAAUAUUGUUUGAUUCUCUCUAACCACACUCACCCUUAUUCAGGUUAAUAUUGAUUCUCUCUAACCACACCCACCCUUAUUCAGGUUAAUAUUGAUUCUCUCUAACCACGCCCACCCUUAUUCAGGUUAAUAUUGUUUCUCUCUAACCACACUCACCCUUAUUCAGGUUAAUAUUGUUUCUCUCUAACCACACCCCACCCUUAUUCAGGUUAAUAUUGUUUCUCUCUAACCACACUCACCCUUAUUCAGGUUAAUAAUGUUUGAUUCGCUCUAUAACCACACCCACCCUUAUUCAGGUUAAUAUUGUUUCUCUCUAACCACGUCCACCCUCAUUCAGGUUAAUAUUGUUUGAUUCUCUCUAACCACGCCUCACCCUUAUUCAGGUUAAUAUUGAUUCUCUCUAACCACACCCACCCUCAUUCAGGUUAAUAUUGUUUGAUUCUCUCAAACCACACUCGCCCUUAUUCAGGUUAAUAUUGUUUCUCUCUAACCACACUCACCCUUAUUCAGGUUAAUAUUGUUUCUCUCUAACCAGGCCUCACCCUUAUUCAGGUUAAUAUUGUUUCUCUCUAACCACGCCUCACCCUUAUUCAGGUUAAUAUUGUUUAAUUCUCUCUAACCACGCCUCACCCUUAUUCAGGUUAAUAUUGUUUCUCUCUAACCACACCCACCCUUAUUCAGGUUAAUAAUGUUUCUCUCUAACCACGCCCACCCUUAUUCAGGUUAAUAUUGUUUCUCUCUAACCACACCCACCCUUAUUCAGGUUAAUAUUGUUUCUCUCUAACCACGCCUCACCCUUAUUCAGGUUAGGAGGAUCAGUGACUAAUUGAAACAUUCCAUAGGGUCUUUAUCUCGUCUGCCAAUGUAAACUUCAGUUUGAUGCUUCAUAAAUGUAUGUUAAUGAAAACAGAUUUUUUUUCCACUGGGAUUUCACAUGGAAAGUUUUCACUGUAAUAUUUUAAUGAGCAAACUCCUGUUGUGUUUUGGUUAGUAUACAGAACACUUGUUAGGUCAAUUUUUGACACAAUUCAUCAGGUCUAUUACAUUAACUCUAAAAUCAAUUCACUUCAUAACAUUUCAUUCCUUCGAAGUGUGUAAAAUCAAAUUGGGUGAUAUUAAUAUUUCAUAUCUUAUGAAUCCUGAUGUUUGUGAACAAUUAGAUAAUGUAAUGAAACAUAUACAUAUAUGUAGAUUUCCAUCAAUACAAAUGUUAAUUAUUUCUCUAUGUUAUUGGGAAGAUACGCUGUAAGCAUCUGUUGAAAUACAUUCCUUAUCAGAACAGUUUUUGAGAAAAACAUUCCUUAUAUUCUAUAUACAGAUUGUAGAUGGUUGGCAAUUAAAACAGAUAUAUAUUCCUAAUCAUGAGGGUUUUGUGAAAUAUGUUCAUGAUCAUGAGGGCUUGGUGAAAUUUAUUCCUAAACAUGAUGUUUGAUGAAAUAUAUUCCUAAUUGUAUUUUUUUGGUGAAAUGCAUUACUAAUUAGGACAGUUAGAUUAAUACACUCCUAAGGGUGGUGAUGUGUCUGGUUUGAACAUAAAUUACAUGUUGUUCAGUUGUUGUAUGAUUGCAGAUAAGUUCUCUCCAACAUUUACAAAAAAUCUGCAUUCAAUACAAGGUAAUUGAAUAAGUGAUAUUCAUGUAAAUCUUUCAAAUAAACAUUUCCUGUAGGCACUCGUAAUAUUUGUUCAGAACAUUCCAAGUUUAGGCUACUACAUUUAUGUCAUAAUGUUAAUGUUCUAAAUUAUCACGACUACAUUGGGGAUACAGUAGUUGUCAAGUUUAUUUUCUAGUCGUUAGAAAAUAACUAAUGUCUUAAUUAUAUUGUUUAUAAUUUUGAUUUAUAAGUGCGAACUAAUUUGAAUAUAAAAUAAAAAAAGAUAUAUGUUU